GAAUCUUUAAGCAUUGACUCAACUCUGACUCGAGAAGACAUCUCGAUCAAGAAUGCUCGCUGUGGAGUCAUUCGAUUCCAGAGGAAUCAUAGAAUUGCAGAGUCACACGAGUUCAACUUAAUUUUCCUCAAAACAACACAAGAACACAAGAACGAAAAAAAAAAAAUCAACACAACAAAAUCACAAUGCUCAACACAGAAAACAAAAACACAUAAAAGAAAAAGAACAUUUUAUUAAGGAGAAACAAAAAUUACAAAAAAAUGUACCGAACGGAGAGCGCAAUCGGAGCCACCACGGGCUGUCACCACCGUGAGUGAGCGCUCCAAAUGCAAAGAAAUUGAAAACCCUAACUAUCUAAAACUGGAAAAAUUGGAAAACUGCAGAGUGUCUCGGUCUGUAUAAGAGUCUCCAAAAAAUCUAUGUACAAAGCAGAAGCCCUUUAUAUCGGGUCGAGAAAGAAAAUAAAAGAGGUAAAAAGGGAACAAGAAACUUGCUCUGGACGUUUCCUUAUCUUUAUCCGACGUGGCAGUUCCGGUCAUCGUCCGGUCAGCUCCGGUCAGAACCGCACCGGUGGGUAAGUGACUUGAACAUUGGGAGCUUUUCUCUCUCGUUCUUCCGCUUUGCUUCAGCCCUAGCUCUAAAGAAGCUUUCUCCCUUCCAAAACUUUCUCGAGUGUGCUUUUCUCCAAAUGAUAGAUGUCUUCGAGCUUUACUCCCAAGGAAGCAAUGAUGCACCAGACGUCGUCGUUGCUCUAAAGUGCUGUCAGCCCAUGCAAAGUGUAGCGCAAAGUCUGCCAGCCCAAUCUCAAAAGCAGCGUGCCCACUUCACUUUCAAUCAACAGCCCGAUUAACAUCUUAAAAUACCAGCCCAUUUAAAUGAGCAACAGUGACAACAGUCAAGCAUUGCAGUGGCAGCGGCCCAACAUUUCUUUUGUUGACCAAAUCAGCCCAGUUAAUAUGUAGAAAAUUAAUCAAGAAUUAAAAAAAACUAAAAAAAAUUCAGAAAUAAAAGCUUAUCAAAAUAAAAAUGAAAGAAAGAAUUUCUUAAAAAAAAACCUAAUUUCCUAUUUAUGACAAAUACUAAAAAAAACCUUUAAAAUCCUAAUUUUAACUACAAUUUUACAAAAUUAAAGAAAAUAAAAGAAAAACCUAAAACUAACCUAACUCUAGACAAUUAAAGACUAAAAUACACUAACAAGGACUUCUAGACACAUAAAAAAUGCAAAAUUGGAGAGUUAUCAAUCAUGAACAGCCACAGGUAUGUCAAUGUGUUCUAUUUGAAGUGCUGAAUCACAAGUGUGAUAAUGCAGGCAUGACAGGGACACUAUUCAACGCAGGUUCUAUGAGUUCAAAUUUAAACAUAUCAAAAACAUUAAAAUGAGAUUGAACCUCCUCUAUAUCAAUUGGAAUAUUCAGUUCAGAGAAAACCUGUGCAUUUAUAUCAGAAUCCUUCAUCAUAUCCUCAAGCAAGUGAUAAGGAAACAGUGCCUUAUAAUCAGAGUACCCAUCAGUAGGUAUCUCUAAACAAUGCACAACAAAAAUUUCAUCCAGCAUUUCAAAGUUAAGAGAUAUAUCAGGCACCACAGGCAAACCAUGCAAAACAUUAGAGACAGUGUGCAAUUCAACUGUUGUGGUGCUUCUGAAAGUUGCUUCAAAUCAUCAAUUGCUGCUUGUGCUUCGGAAUUCAAAAUAUGCAGAUUUCCGAGUUCAAAUCAUAUUUUUAUCAAAACAACACAAAAACACAAUCACAAGAACACAGAAACGAAAACAAUUAACAUAACGGAAUAGUAAAGCACUUAACACAGAGAAACAUCAAAGAAAAACACAUUUUAUUAACAAGAAACGAAAAUUACAAAGAUUUACCGUACGAAAAGCGCAAUCGGAGCCACCGCGGGUUGUCACGACCGUGAUGAGCGCUCCAAAAGAACGGAAAACCCUAACUAUCUAAAAUGAAAAAUUGUAGAGUAUCUAUUCGAGUGUCUCGGUCUCUCCAGUCUCCCUCUUUUCUAUUUAUAAAACUCCUUUUAUAGGGUCAGAAACAAAUGAAAAAAAAAAUUGAAAGAAAGAAAAGGAAAAAGUGAAACUUGUUCUUGACGCUUCCGGCUUCACCUUGAUCCAACGGUCCUCUUUAUUCUGCCUCCUUGCUCUCUACUAGCCGUUUGAUCAUCCACGUGGCAGCGCCGGUCAUCUUCUCCGGGCACCUCCUUCGGGUAAGUGGCACAAGGUAAGCUUCUCUUCCUCUUUCAUUCUCUCGCUUUCGAACCAAGCCCUAACUUUGAAGGAGCUCUCUUUCAUUCUACCUUAGCACAUGGAUGCUCUCUGCCCA
rnacentral:lncRNA from 1 species